UUCAUUUUGUGGAAUCUUUUAGAUGCUGC
rnacentral:piRNA from 1 species